AAACUUUCAACAACGGAUCUCUUGGUUCUGGCAUCGAUGAAGAACGCAGCAAAAUGCGAUAAGUAAUGUGAAUUGCAGAAUUCAGUGAAUCAUCGAAUCUUUGAACGCACAUUGCGCCCGCCAGUAUUCUGGCGGGCAUGCCUGUUCGAGCGUCAUUUC
rnacentral:rRNA from 15 species